rnacentral:rRNA from 1 species
CCUACGGGAGGCAGCAGUGAGGAAUAUUGGUCAAUGGGCGAGAGCCUGAACCAGCCAAGUCGCGUGAGGGAGUACUGCCCUAUGGGUUGUAAACCUCUUUUGUCGGGGAGCAAAAGCCGGACGUGUCCGGCUGUGAGAGUACCCGAAGAAAAAGCAUCGGCUAACUCCGUGCCAGCAGCCGCGGUAAUACGGAGGAUGCGAGCGGUAUGGGGAUUUAUUGGGUUUAAAGGGUGCGGAGGCGGAUUUUUAAGUCCGGGGUCAAUUCGUGGGGUUCAACCCCAUCCAACCGGUGAAACUGGGGAUCUAGAGUGUGCGAGGGGGAUGCGGAAUGCGUGGUGUAGCGGUGAAAUGCAUAGAUAUCACGCAGAACCCCGAUUGCGAAGGCAGCAUACCGGUGCACAACUGACGCUCAGGCACGAAAGCGUGGGUAUCGAACAGGAUUAGAUACCCGGGUAGUC